CUGAACACCAGGGAUACCACAACGAGAGCGAAGGGUUCUUCGUCUAGGGUUUUAGUGAAUUGAGUGAGGGGAGAAGGAGAGAUGAUGAUCGAUUUUUCUCUUUUUUUUUUCUUUUCUAUUUGUAAUCGGGCCGAUGGGCUGGAUGGGGUGGGUUGAAUAGAGUAACCUUUUAUUUUUCGUUGGAUUUAACUUUAUAUUUAGGCCUUAAUAAUUUUUUUAAAAAGUUUUGGCAUAAAUAGAAUACUUAUACAAAAGUAUUACAAAAAUGUGUCCCUAUAACCUAAUUCUGUUGUAGUGAUCGUCCAUUUGCUAUCAAUAGUAUUUGCCCACAUUUACUAUCAAUUUUUUAACUCUUGGAUAAGAAAUUAUAUGUUUAGAAUGAUAUUAGUUCCUUAGGGUUGAGUGGUCCCUAUUAGAUUAUAAUAUUUAAUCCAAUUGUUAAAAAUGAUUGAAGAAAUUGAUCCAAAUGCUAAAAAUUUGAUAGCAAAAGGAAUGUAUAUAUAUAUAUAUUGAGGGUCCGGCUACUACACUAUUAUGAGUACGAUCGCCCUCGUACUCAUAAGUUGUUUUCGAUGAUAGAGCUUCCAAAUCGACGAUCCACACCGUUAAACGUUAUUUACAGUAUUUAAAACUUCUAGAAAUCAAAUUUUAUAAUUUUUCGACAUCUACCUUACAAUCAAGAGGUCACAAAUUUGACAAUUUUUAAUAGCUGGUAUGGAAUACUUGCUAAUUUAACGAUGUAAAAGAAUCAAAAUUUAUUGAAUUUUUGAUAGAAAAUU
rnacentral:lncRNA from 1 species